AUGCUGUUGUAUAGGUGUAGUUGCUAUAGGUGUUGUUGCUGUAGGUGCUGUUGCUAUAGGUACAGUUACUAUAGGUGUUGUUACUGUAGGUGCUGUUGUAUAAGUGUAGUUGCUGUAGGUGUUGUUGCUGUAGGUGAUGUUGCUAUAGGUGAUGUUGCUAUAGGUGUUGUUACUGUAGGUGCUGUUGUAUAAGUGUAGUUGCUGUAGGUGUUGUUGCUGUAGGUGAUGUUGCUAUAGGUGUUGUUGCUGUAUAGGUGAUGUUGCUAUAGGUGUUGUUGCUGUAGGUGAUGUUGUGUAGGUGAUGUUGCUAUAGGUGCUGUUGUGUAGGUGAU
rnacentral:lncRNA from 13 species